rnacentral:rRNA from 1 species
CGGAGGCAGCAGUGGGGAAUAUUGGUCAAUGGACGGAAGUCUGAACCAGCCAUGCCGCGUGAAGGAUGAAGGCCCUCUGGGUUGUAAACUUCUUUUAUCUGGGACGAAAAAAGGGAAUUCUUUCUCACUUGACGGUACCAGAGGAAUAAGCACCGGCUAACUCCGUGCCAGCAGCCGCGGUAAUACGGAGGGUGCAAGCGUUAUCCGGAUUUACUGGGUUUAAAGGGUGCGUAGGUGGACCUUUAAGUCAGUGGUGAAAUCUCCGGGCUUAACCCGGAAACUGCCAUUGAUACUAUAGGUCUUGAAUACUUUGGAGGUAAGCGGAAUAUGUCAUGUAGCGGUGAAAUGCUUAGAUAUGACAUAGAACACCAAUUGCGAAGGCAGCUUACUACACAGUGAUUGACACUGAGGCACGAAAGCGUGGGGAUCAAACAGGAUUAGAUACCCCAGUAGUC